GCAAUAAUCAUCAUCGGU
rnacentral:snRNA from 1 species